CCUGCGCGCGGUCGGGCAGUGUCGGCAGCCUGUGUGCCCGGGCUGAGGGGGCAAAAACGGCGUCUGGCGGCGGUGCGGGCGCCGACUCCACCCGGCGCCUCCCUCCCGGCCGCGCAGCUCCAUUUCCGCAGUGCUGGAGCUGGUGACGUGGGCACUGCGAGCGGCCGCGGCCUGGCCAGGCCCGGCCCGGUCCGCGGCCCCCGCCCUGGCCAGCCCUGCAGCCGAGGGCCGCGGCAGCCGUUUGCUGCCUAGUCUGGAAAAGUGUGUGACAGCAGGGGCGAGCCAGCCCAGCGCCGUCAGGGCCCGACGCAGACGAUUGCGCCCCGGCCCCAGGCCCGUUCGUUCUUGCGUCCCUUCGUGGUCUCCCCGGGAAAAGGGAGGGGGGAGAGCCGAAGGGGAAGGGACCGGGGUCUUGGUUUUCCUUACCAGCCCCACCUCCUCCAGCCAGCACGCCUAGGCCUGUGCUAGGCGCUCCCUGAUGUGGGACAGACAACUGAGAAGGAGAGAAGAAAGCCUUUAAAAAAAAUUGUUACUUAACACUUUCAAGUCCCGAGUCAGCAUAAAUCCCAUCUCGUUAUUUGACAGCUAGGGAAUCCCUUUCAGGGUCAUUAAAGUUCUGUCGACUUCUACCACGUGUGAACGGCUUGAUUGCAGUGUUGCAGGGCUGGGGUGUGUGCAAAUGUGUGUCUACGGGGGGAGGGGGACGCUGAGGUUUUAGAUGGGCCUGGGGGUCCCAGCUGCUAGUUUUCAGGUGACCUCAUGUCCAUGUGAAAUGCAAGGAAAUUCGAUUAUUCUUACUCUAAAUAACAUCCUGGCGUGUUUCACAGUUAAGCAAACUCAUCAUAACAUAGUGUUUAAUACCUGUGAUUUUGGCGUUACUUGGAACCUAAGAAUAAACCCAAAGCUUGUUCAGGUGUUACAACUAUUAAUAUACGCGGGUCUGAUUUCAGUGGGGACUCUUGCACAACUUUGGACCCUUUGCACAAUUUUGGAAAUGUGAGCAACAGCAGCUUGUGGUUGCACUAAUGAUGUAGCAUAUUCUGUAAGUAACCAGGGAAGCCCGUUGAUUGCUGCCUUGAAGUAAAACUUUGUGUUAUAAAUAUGGAUUUUUGGCAAGGAUUUUUGGUGUGUGUAUUUAUGGAAACUGAAUGGUUUUCUAUGUAAGAAAGAUCCCACGUAUAGCAAUGUUUUGCAAAUAGUUAAUUGUACAUUUAUAAACCUUUAAUGAAUGUCAUGUAUUUUUAAGGAGAAAGGGAAAGUCUAAAGCCUUCUGGCAAAAUUUGAUUUAGGCUGUCAAAACAAGAUUCAGGCUGAGAAAGAUGUCACAUUAACUAUUUUUUGUAAAGAUUUAUUUAUUUUAUUAUUUGAAAGGCAGAGUCAGAGAGAGGCAGAGUCAGAGAGAGAGAGACACCAGAUUUGAGAAUUAGAGAGGCAUGACUGUGGCCAUUGGCUAUCUCAGCAGUAGUGAAGAUUCAAAAUUAGACUUUGCAGGUUGCCUUUUUAAACCUUUUUUUUUUUUUUUUAGCUUUUUAAUUGAGGAAAUAAAGUAUUGUGCAGGGAGGAGUGGGGUUACAGAUAUUAACAAGUUGGGUGCUCUCUGCUCUUAGAAUUUGCUCUCAUCCAAAAACAGUCCCUAGGCAGUUGAAAGGGAAGACACUCUUUUCUGGCAAUUAUUACUGUUCCAAUCUAGUUCAAGCACUGAAUACUUGACAUUAGACUGUAUAAAGCACCAUUUUCUCCCCACUCCAGUUCAGCCAGUAUAGUUUGCUGUCAGCUUAAUCUUCCUGAAAUGUGGUGUCCGGAGGCUAUUCCGCUACUCGCUCACAUUUUUUAGUUUGACCCUCAAUGAACUGCACAUUUUAGCUUUUAUCUGUUUUUCCUGGCAUCUCUCUUGCUAUUUCCCCACGUUGCUUCUGCCAGUGAGAUCCAGUGGCUGAUUUCUGUGGCUUUAGCUGGCACCUGCUUCUCUCUGUGUGGAGUGUCUUUUGCUACAAUCUCUCCCUCUGGGAAUUCUUUCUGUCUUUUGAAGGCUAACGGGGUCUUCCAUAAUGCCUGAAGAGUAAAUAUAUAAAGAUUUUAUUAUGUGCCAAGAUUGUCCGUACAUCCUGACUGGAAGGCACUAUUCCCUUUCUGAAUUUGUGCUUCUCACUUUGCCCCGAAUGAGUUGUUUUAUAGGUACUUGAUGUGGGCAUCUAAAUUUGAUUAUGUGCUGCUUGAGAAAAGAUGCUUUGUAUGACUGUUUCAGGAAUUGCCUACUAAAGAGAAGGCGGCCCUAUGAAAUUAAUGAAUGAGGACCCAAACCAGUAUAUUCCUUAUUAUAUAUUAGUAACUUGAUAGAAACUUUUUAGCCCAAUUCUGUCACUUUUUAUUGACUAUAGCCAAAAUCCAUUAUCAUAUUUCUUCAAUUCAGACUAUAUCCAUAGUUGUAAGAUACACUCUAUGUGACCCUCCACCUAAAAAAAUAUAUUGAAUCUGUUCUGUGAGAUCCUUGAGUUUUUUAAAAAGUAGUGUGAGAAACAUACAUGUUAGAAUGAAGGGACUCAUCUACAUUCCUGUUUCUUUCUGUAGCCUGUAAAAUAGUCAUUCUUAGCCUUUUUUUUCUUUCAAUAGUGAUAUAAAAUAAAAUAGUGAAAAUACUUUGAUUUCCCAAGAGAAAGGAACCAUGAACAUUUUUUUGUUUUCUUUUCCCAUUCAUAGAAGAGGUUUUAAAAACUUUUGCAUGACCAUGAUAAUACUGUUGAUCUGUUUUCCUGCUGUGAGACCAAAUCCAGUUGAAAUGUAGCUUUAAGCUUUUCAUUAGUACUGUCUUGUUUCUGAAAAAUUAUGUAGGAUAAUGUGUCAAUUAAAUCCAGAUGGAUAAUUACUUUUUAAAGAUUUAUUUAUUUAUUUAGAGAGACAGAGUUACAGACAGAAGAGACAAAGAGAGGGGUCUUCCAUCUGCUGGUUCACUCCCCAAAUGGCUGCAACGGUCAGAGCUGGACCCAUCCAAAGCCAGGAGCCAGGAGCUUCUUCCAGGUCUCCCAUGCAGAUGCAGGGGCCAAAACACUUGGGCCAUCUUCCAUUGCUUUCCCAGACCAUCAUCAGGGAGCUGGAUCAGAAGUGGAGCAGCUAGAUCAGAAGUGGAGCAGCUGGGGCUUGAACCGAUGUCUGUAAGGGAUGCUGGCACCGCAGGUAGAGUCGUAACCAAUGCCGCAGUGCUGGUCCCUGGAAAAUGAUUUUUAACAAGCCUGAUCUCAUAAGCAGAUAAUUAUCAAGAAUAGAGGGAAAUAAAAAUUCUGAUAAACCUAUGAUUGUUGCUCCUAAAACUCUGCCAUUUUGCCUCAUUACUAACCCUUCCUGGCGUUCAGCCAGGUACUGAAAGGGAUAGACAUGAUUGUAUCCUUCUAUCAUAUCUCCUCCAAGCAACCCCACCUAAAGAAAGAGAAGUUCUAUCAAAACACCUGACCAACUCCUAUGCAUCCAGUCUUUUAAGAUAGUUACAAACCCUACUAUUCCCUAUUGUUUUAUACUGGUCCCCGCCACUUCGUGCCCACUCUCAGUUGCAUUUUGAAUAAUCUUUUUUGUCAGAAAGGUGUGUGAUACUGUCUUAGAUGUAAAGGUAGGCCAUUCAGUCAGAGAUUUUUAAUAGUUAAGUUAUGCGCCCUUAGGGGAGGUGCUGUAAAUCUUAGGAGGUGAUGUUUGAACAGAAAUUAAAGUGAUAAGAACAGAUUUGCUAUAUGUGCAAAGAGGAAUGUCUGCAGCUCAGGGUUGAGUGUCCUGGGUUAGAGAUUUGAGAGCUAAUUAUAUGUAAUGAAAUCUUCAUUAUCUUACAGUUUCAUUAUUUUGACAUUAGGAGUCUUUUAGUAAAGCAAAAAUUUUCAUAACAUUAAACUAUAUAAGUUACUACUUAAUACUUUCCCAAGCUGUCUUCGCCAUUUAUUCCCGUCCUUCUGCUUCGGGACUAUCAAAAUAUAGUUCAAAUUAGUUGCAAAGUGAAAUAGAUGCUCAAAAAAUGCAAUCUCACAUUAAAAUGCAAGGUCUUACUUAUUUGAUGAAAAUUAUCUUGUAGCAUUAAUUCACAUGCAAUGUCAUUGACAAAUGGCAGUGCAGCAGAGUUGCCCUCCCAGAAUGAAGUGGGUGGUCAUCAUUCACUAAUAGAGAAAGUUUGGAUGUGAUGGUGGAGAAGAUUACCAGCAUAAGAGACAAAGAAGACUCAAAAAUAGAGACUUGGGCAGUAUACAUCAACAGUCAUCUGCCUGUAGUUCCCAGAGAGAAAGUGGUCAUCAGUGUCAGAUGCAGCAGAAGUCAGGGACUGCUGGUUAAAAUGAUGGGAAGGUGUUAGUGCUUUGCCACAGUGUUGGAUUGAGUAUUGAGUGAGGGAGAAAAAACAGUUAACAAAAGUGGGGUGUGUGUGUAUGUAUGUUUUAAAGCAACUGGAUUUUUAGAUGUAGCAUGUGAAAAUAUGGGAAAAGUCUCAAAGACUACACACUUAGCAGUUACUUCUGGAGAGGAAAAGUAAAAUUCUGUUUGUACUGGUAUUUGUGAAAUGGGACUUUCUGUAUUUUAUGGUUCAUCCUGUGGGGAGCAACUCAGACUAGACUGUUACUGGAAUUAAGACUUAUUCUAUGCAUCUGCUCUCCCACAAUAUGGCGCUGGGAGAGGAGGAAACAGCUUCUACACAGCUGCCUCCAGUUCAACCAAUAAACUGUAGGACCUGCUCCUGAUUGGAGGAGAGCAGCAUACUCGGCGUGUGGGUAGCAGAGUUGGGAUUGGUGGAAGAGGACUAUAAAGGAGGAGAGAGACAACAUGCACCAGGAACACCUGUCUGAAGGAACACCUGUGCAGCCCCCCAGAGAGCCGGCCGGCAGUGUGCCGCUCCCCCGCGGAAGUGGGGAAAGUGGCAGGGGGAACCACCCUUCCACGGAGGUGGAAGGGACGGUAGCCAACCCGGGAAGGACCAGCAGCAAACCCGGGAAGGGCCGAGCAGACAAAAGAACAACGCAGGGUCCUGUGUCAUUCCUCCAUGAAGAGGGGGAGCGACACAUCCUACUAUUUUUUUGGUUUUAAUUUUAAGGAAUAAUACAAAAAGUGUUGGUACUUUUAAAAAGAGGGAUAUUAGAAAGUUUAAAACAAAUGGUUCAUCAUACUUUUUAGAAUUAGCGAGAGAGGAAGAGAUAGAGAGGGAGGUUUUCCGUCCACCAGUUCGCUCCCCAGAUGGCUGGAUUGGCCUGGCCCAUCUGGGAGCCAGAAACUUCAUCCGGGUCUCGCACGUGGGUUUCAGGGGCCUAAGCACUUAGGCCAUCUUCUGCUGUUUUACCUAGGCCAUUAGCAGGGAGUUGGAUUGGAUGGAAGUGGAGCAGCCAGGACUCAGUGUCCAUAUGGGAUACUGACAUUGCAGUCAGGUUAAGCUGUGCCAUAAUGCUGGUCCCCAUCUCACUUUUUUUUAAUUUAAAGAAAAAUCACAUGUCGUAUUGGUGCUUUUUUUUUUUUUCUUUAGUAAAGAUCUUGGAAAGUUUAAAAUAGAGCCAAUGAGUGGGCUAUUCUGUUAAAAACUGAGUAUGAGAGGGAAGGAGUAAGAACUUUAGACUUUGUUGCAAAAACAGGUUGGCUGGUGUGUAUCCACACAUGAAUAUAUUUUAAGUUAGGAGAGACCUGCUGUUGAAAGCUAAGAAAGAGAAAAAGGAGCAAAAUCCCAGAGGACCUGGAGAAGUAAUCAGAUUAGAUUCUCUAGAGCUUUCGAAUUUUAACAGGAACCAAAAAAAAAAAAAAAAAAAAAGACUCCUCCCUGGGGGACACUCAACUUUGAGUUUCUUUACAUUCUUGUGAAUCAUCUGAAGUAUUUGUUUUUUAAAAGAUUCAGUUGUCUAACUCCUACCAGAGAUUUUGAUUCACUAAACUUGAGAUAGAGCCAAAAACACUAUUCAUUUUAUUUUAUUAUAGGAAUAGGUUUGUUAGAGUAUAUUUAGGAAACAGUGGAAAAACAAGUUUAGAGUUAGUUCAUUCAAGUUUUUAUUUAUAAUCAUGCAUAUGAAAGAGUAUAUAUAAUAUAUAUAAUUUAAUAGUUUUAAAGAAUAAAAAUAAACACCAUGCCAAAGAAAUACGCAUCCUCAUUACAUACCUCUCCCUUUCAACCAGUCUUCAACCAUCAGCCUGAAUUUUAUAUUAAUCCUUUCAUUGCUUUUCUUCACUUAUUCAUCCCUAACCCACCUUGUUUAGUCUUGCCUGUUCUUAGAUGUUAUUAGCUGCUUCAUUCAUCAAAUGAGAGCUGAAAUAUAUCAGAAACAUAUCUUUUAGUAUCAUCUAGAAUACAUGUUCUGCUUCUUUUGUACCUAAAUUUCUGUUUUUUUUCAUGUUAUUUUUAGUUGGUCUUUCAAGGUUUUUGGCUAGCUCUUUCCUUUUCAGCCCUUCCUAACCCAGUUUAUUUGCUACUUUCUCCAUCUAAUAUUUAUAUUGCAUCUGAGACUUUAUUUUGAACCAUUGAGACUGUUUGUCCUGGUCUAUUUUGUUUUUCCCUUUGUAACCUUCCAUGGUUAAACCUCACCAUCUCAGAUAAUGUCCCUUUUUCUUUCUUUUUUUUUUGUUAAUUUUAUUUGAGAGGUAGAGUUACAGACAGAGAAAGAGACAGAGAGAAAGAUCUUCCUUCCAUUGGUUCACUCCCCAAAUGGCCGCAAUGGCCGGAGCUGCACCCAUCUGAAGCCAGGAGCCAGGUGCUUCUUCCAGGUCUCCCACACGUGUUCAGGGGCCCAAGGAUUUGGGCCAUCUUCCACUGCUUUCCCAGGUCAUAGCAGAGAGCUGGAUUGGAAGAGGAGCAGCCCGGACUAGAACUGGCACCCAGAUGGGAUGCUGGCACCGCAGGUGGAAGAUUAACCUACUGUGCCAUGGUGCUGGCCCCUCCGUCCCUUUUUCUUCUCGGUGCUCUUGUUCUUUUUGUCCCACUCCAGCAUGAAAUUACCUUCUCUUUUAUCUCCUGACAAUUCUUCUCCAUUUUCUCUCUCCAGUUCUCCUCCUCCUGCAGUAGCCAAUGAUUUUGCUGUUUGCAGACCCUAAUAUUGCCAGCUCAGCUGGUUUCCCCUCUCCUUCUGGUCCAGCUGUGCUUACUGCAUUUUGUUAUUCUCUGUUCAUUGUCAGUCUGUGAGGCUGUGAGACUGUGUCCUUUACUACAAAAAGAUGUAGUCACGUGCAAUCCUCCCUUGUCUCCUUCCUAAAUUUUCAUUUUCCUAUUUGAUUGCUCAACUUUGCUUAUUUGUAAGUUAUAAAAUAUUCUUCAUUUUAGCUAUAUUAUAUUUCACUUGUAAAUAAAGGAUGCUUAGCAAAAGGAUACUAGAUUCACUCUGCUGACAUACUCGGGUGGUCACUGCCUGUUAAUUCCUGCAGUGCAUCUCAAUUCAAACCUCUUGGGUCUGAUCCUUAGAGAUGCUAUUUCUGAAGCUGUACCAGUAAGCCCUGGACAUCUGUUUUGCUUUGUUUUUUUAAGUAUUGUUUGUAGUGGUAGUAUUGUUUAUUCCUCCACUGCUCAGUUGUGGACCAUUUUUGCCUGUUUUUCUAAAUUGAUUCUUCUUUUUCUGCUGUCAUAUUUUGUGCUUUUGGGAAUUUUAUUUAAAUGACCUCUAAAGGUAGAUCCAGACUGACUUUAUAUGGGCUUCUUCAUCACAUUAGCUUUUGACUCUAUGUGUAGGUGGUAGGUUCCCAGGAGGAGUCCUCCACAUGUUUUUGUACUUCUACAAAAUAUCAAAGACUUGUUAUCUUUUAACCCUUCAAUGCAUAUGUUAGGUUACCAUUUUACAGAUGAAGAAACAAUGUCAUUUGGAGCAAAUUGUUUUAUUAAGUGGUAGAGCGAAGACCUAAGGCUUGCUGAUUCCCAAGGUCCAUGCCCUUGAUCAUAGGGUGAUCUGACUUCAUUCUCCUUUUGCCUGCUUUCUCCUAUCUUCUAGUUUUUACUUUUCAUGGCCAUCACAUAACUUUAGAUUUCUCCCAGUUCUCUCGGCAAGAAUACUCCCAUUGUUCUGGUAUAGCUGACAUUUACUCAAUUUUGGUCAAAUCUGAGGGAGAAGGGAAAAAAAAUAUUGAUGACCACAUACUGCAGCCAACUCCUUGAAGGCAAAAUGAUGCCUGGCAUAGUUAAUGCUUCAGAAAAUGACGAGUGAGUGAAUGUUCUGCUGCAUAGGCUGCAUGCAUUGACCAUUUCAUUCUUCCUUGUUUAGGAAAGGAUUUAAGCGUAGUUUUAUAAACAUUGUCACAGGUUUUUUAAUGUAAAUGAGAGUAUAUUAGUUUUCUCUUUCUAACAUGACAAACUACCCAAAACUUAGUAGCUCAAACAACAGAAAUGUAUCUUAAUGUUCUAUAGUUCAGAAGUCUAAUGUGAAAAAUGAGGCUAAAAUCAACAUUUCAAUAGGGCUGCAUUCCCUUCUGGAGCAUUCUUGCUUAUUCAAGAAUGUAGUUCCUUGCAGCUGUAGGCUGAGAUCUCCAUUUCCUUGCUGGUUGUCGUUUGAGGGUUCUUGGAAGCUUUAGGACUUUACCCAGAUACCAAUACUCCCUGGCUUACAGUCUCCUUUAUCCAUCUUCAAAGCCAGCAACAUAGGUUAAAUCCUUCUCUUGCCCUAUCUUUCUGAUUCUUCUUGGGUCAUUCUGUCUCUCACUCUAAUCUAGGAAAGUUUCUUUACUUUUAAGAAUUUCUGUGAUUAGGGCAGCUAUUGACAUAAUAGUUAAACUGACAGUUGGGAUGCCUGCUCCCCGUAUCAGAAUGCCUGGAUUCAAGUCCUGGCUCUAUUCCCUAUUCCAGCUUCCUGCCAGUGAGCAUCCUGUAGGGCAGCAGGUGAUGGCUCAAGUUGAUUUCCUGGCUUUCAGCUUCAGCCUGGCACAGCCUCAGCCAUUGCAGGUCGUUUGAGAAGUAAACCAGUAGGUGGAAGCUCUUCUUUCCAUCUGUCUCUAAAAUAAAUAAAUAACAAUUUAGAGAUAAUUUAUGUGAUGUGAUUAGGUUUAUAUGGAUAAUGUCCCCAUCUACAGGUCUACUCUUUUUUUCUUUUUUAAGAUUUAUUUAUUUGUUUGAAAGGCAGAGUUACAGAGUGAGGGAGAUACCAAGAAAGAGAAAGAUCAUCCAUUUGCUGGUUUACUCCCCACAUGGCUACAACAGCUGAGGCUGGGCCAGGCUGAAGCCAGGAGCCAGGAACUUCAUCUGGAUCUCCCAUGUGGGUGACAGAGGCCCAAACACUUGGGCCACCUUCUGCUGCUUUCCCAGGCACAUUAGCCGGGAGCUGGAUCAGAAAUGGAGCAGCUGGGACUGGAACCAGUACCCAUAUGGGAUGUCAGCAUCACAGGCAGUAGCUUAACCUACUGUGCCAUAUAGAGUAGCAUAUUCACAGGUUUUAGGUGUUAGGGUAUGGCCAUCUUUUGGAGCACAUUAUUUUGCCUGCCAUAAAGGGCUCAGGAACAAAUAGUAGGGUCAAUAAAAUGAAAUCAGAAGGGACGUUAAUAAUCAAAAAGUGUAUGUUAUGAAGUUGUAUAUAACCCUUCAAGCCUUCAAAAUGGGCACUGUAUUUAGCAUUAAGCAGUGCAAACAGCCCUGCUCUUUUGCCCUAAUUAUAGAAUUUGUUUUUUAAAAAUAUGCAUAUGUAUAUACUUAACAACUUCUGACACUGAGUCAUGAAAAAAAUUUUUCUUAUUUCCUUCUAAAAGCAAAUAUAGAAUAAGGUAGGGAAAGAAUAUAAGUAUGCAACUGAUUUUAUAAGGUAUUUUCGCUGAUCAGUAGUUUCUGUGAGGAAGACUCCAUUUUAUAGGUAAGCAAAGAGAAGCUGAUUGUCACACCACACAGCUAGAAACUGACCACACUAAAUUUUGAAGCCAGGUCUUCUUGACUCCAGACUCCAUGCUCUCUCCUCUGUGUCUUGAUUCCUAUAAAUUCUGAAUUACAUCUCUUCUAUUGGCUUACUAACUGCUUGAUCCCAUGAGCUGAUAUGUGGGAGUACCUGAGCUUUCAGUUUCCUUUACCUGAACAGGUAGGACCUCUACUUGAGCAAAACAAAGCAUGAUUGUUCUACAGAAAACUAGGGAAAAGUCCUUUUUUUUCUUCUUCUUAUCUAGUUAUAUGCCUGUGGGCAACCUUCCUGAAUAUUAGUGUGUUCAUCUAUAAAGUGGAAUGAAAAAAUGAGAUCAUAUAUGUAACAAUGACUUGAAUAAAAAAUGAUUAAUAUUUCUUCCUUUUAAUCACACUUUCUUGACUGUUGUGUGCAAUUUCUCCAUACGUAGUUGAAAAACGGACCCAAAUUUGAUAAGUGCAUUAUAGUAUCUGAAUAAUGCUGACCAUCAUGGAAAUAAUUUAUUUGGCCCUCUGUGUGUCCCAGUAUUUUUUUUCACAUCCCUCCUUAGCUUGUUUGUUUGUAACCAGCUGAUACCUUAAGGCCAUCUUGAAUCCUGUUUCUUUCCUAGCUUGUUGGUGUUUUCUUGUACUUCCCCAAUGCUUUAUGGAAAGUUCCUUAACAUUAUAAAGAUUAUUCAUUUUAUUCCAGGUAUCUGUAUUAAGCUUUGCUUAAUUUAGUAUAUUUGAUUAUCCAAGUCCACGAAUUAUUUUAAGACACUUAAGGUUUUGUUCUAGGAAAGAUCCAGCACACUCCAACUAGAUCAAGAAAAGAAAUUAAUGAUAAGAGUUUUAAGGAGGCCCAUAGGAAUCCAAGAAAAACUGUGUAAGCAAAUCGUGAUCAACUGGUUACUCCCAAAGUCUUUGUUCUCCUCUUAUGGCUUCUCAUUUGAUCCUUCAAGUAUUUAGAAAGGAGUUUGGAUUUUUAAGCAUGUUUCCUUUUUCUUUCCCCAACAAUCUUUUCAUUAGUGAUUUCUGACUUUACUGAGAGAAUGUAGGCCAUAUGUGUUGUUUGUUCAGUUUUUGAGACUAAUUUUGUAGCUAAUACUUGAUCAACUGUUGUACAAGUCCCAUGUGUGCUUGAAAAGUAUAGUGUAUGUCCUAGAGACAAAUUUCCACACAUGUCUAUUAGAUUAGACAUGAUUUGUUUAGAUCAUAACUUCUGUAAAGCAUUUGUCUACUUCGUUUUUUGAGUUUAGGGCAGAGAUGUUAAAAUCUUACGACAAUUUUUCUUAUAGCUUAGAUUUUGUUACCUAUAAAUUUGGAGGCUAAUUUGUAAGAUGCAUGUGGACUCAAGCCCUACAUCUGGCUGGGAAGUUACUUCUUUCAUUAAGUUUUCCUCCACAUGUUACUUAGUAUAGUUUUUGGUAUUCAAGAUUUUGACGCUAAUUUUAAAUCUUAGGUUUUUCUAUUUGCCUAGUAUGUACUUUUUCUUUUUUUUUCUGUGAAUUCAUUGUGCUUUGUAGGAUAUAAAUGUUACAGCUACAUUGAAGCUCCUUGUAUAUAUACCCUUCAUCUCCCUUCUUCCUUAGAGGGAAUCACUUAUGUGAAUUGAGUGAUUAUUAUUCCUGUGAAAGUUUCCAUAUAAUUAUACAUAAGUAUGUAUGUCUGUGUAAGAGUACACAGUAUAUUUUUUUCAAACUUCUCUUAGUAGAUUGUUACUGUACUUUCUCUGAAACUUAUUUUGAUAGAUUUAUUGCUACUAAUACAUUUUGUUCUAUUUCAUUUAUAUUAAUUGCUUGGUUUUUUUAUUUAUUUGCAAGACAAGGAUAUAGUGUGGGGAUUAGUGAUAAAGCACAUGAACAAAUUCCUCAUAUGUUCGCUCCCCAGAUGCCCUCAAUGGCUCUGGGCCAGGCUGGGGACAAAGCUGGGAGCUGGGUACUCAGUCAGGGUCUCCCGUCUGGGUGGCAGUGACCCAGUUACUUGAGCCAUCAGUACUGCCUCCCAGGAUCCACAUUAGCAGAAAGCUGAUGUCAAGAGCCAGAGCCAGUAUUGAAUCCAGACAAGCAGUACAGGGCACAGGUGCUAACUAGCAGUCUUAACUGCCAGACCACAUGCCCAUCCCAUUUGAUUGGUUUAAUUUUAAUUGUUCUGAUGUUUUAUAUGCCACAAUUUUUCCCAUUCUUUCACUGAUAGAAAUUUUAGUGUUAUUUGUUGUUUUGUUAACAAAAGACAAUACCACAUGGGUUGUUCUUGUGCUUCCCUCCCUGAACUGUUGUUACAGCUCUGGAAGUAUACUCCAUAGUGGAAUUAUGGACUGAGGGUGUGUGUCUGUGUAAGAGAUUUCCAGCUAAUCUAAAUCACUUGUCCAAAGUAGUUACUAAUUCUAGCUCUGAUACUUUUUUUUGAAAAAAUAUUUAUCUAUUUGAAAGGCAGAGUUGCAGAGGCAGAAGCAGAGAGAGAGAGAGAGAGGUCUUCCAUCAGCUGGCCCACUCCCCAAAUGGCCGCAACAGCCAAGAGAGAGAGAGAGAGAGAGAGAGAGAGAGAGAGAGAGAGAGAAAGAGGUAGGUCUUCCAUCAGCUGGCCCACUCCCCAAACGGCCGCAACAGCCGGAGCUGGGCUGUUCCAAAGCCAAGAACCAGGAGCUUCUUCCAGGUCUCCCACGUGGGUGCAGGGGCCCAAGCACUUGGAUCAUCUUCCACAGCUUUCCCAAGCCAUAGCCGAGAGCUGGAUCAGAAGUGGAACAGCUGGGACUCGAACCAGUGCCCAUAUGGGAUGCCAGUCCUACAGGUGGCGGCUUUACCCACUAGGCCAUAUAGGCCAUAGGCCACAGCACCUACCCCAGUGUCACUUUUUUUUUAAGGGCCUGUAUAUUUUUUUAUAUAUCCCAACGCUAUAUUUUUGUAAAAAUUCAGUCAGUAUUUCUUUCAACUUUUUGCUUAUUUGCUUUGAUUGAUUCCCCAAAUAACCACAACACCUAACCAAGAACAUAAUUGAGAUCUCUCAAUUCAGUGCCAGGAACCUAACUACUUAAGUCAACCCUGCUGCCUCUGAGGGUCUGCAUUAGCAGGAAUCCGGAAUCAAGAGUCCAAAUGGGGACUCAAAUCCAGAUGCUCCAUUGUAGGGUACAAAUGUCUUAAUCAGUAUUUUAACUCCCAGACUAAAUAUCUUCCCUGAAAGUGUGUAUUUUAAGAAACUGUAAUGGUUUUGUAUGUAUUGUAAUCACUGAUGAAUUUGGAUUUAUUUCUGUUAUCAGGUACUAUCCUAGAACAGUCACAUGGACAGGGAUCAAGACAUGUGUCACAGGCAUGCCCACUCACCAUAGACUCUUGGGUGGAGACAGAGAUAUGUCCCAAACAGGAAGUAAUGUGGUAGUUGGGUUCCCUAAGCAUUUGAAGAGGUGCUUUUCCCUUGGAGGACAUUGAGUGUAAAGAGAAUAUCUCCACCAACUUAAUUGUGCACAUUAACAAUUCAGAUCCCUGAUAUAUGAGAAACAUGUGUGAUAUCUGCCUAUGACAACCCAUAGGGUUGUUCCCCAAAGCCCAAGGGUGUUUGGGGUGGUUGUUUUUCCCCUUAACUUUACAGCUAUUUUUGGAAUUCAAAUGUCAGUCUUUUGUUUCCCUUCUAUACAGCUGAUAUGCUACUGUAAGUGGUAUAUUCGUGCUUACCCUGCUGACCCCAGCUUUAUUAAAAUUGAUGGAUAACUCUCCCUUUUGUGUUUGUCCAUUCUUAGCAAUAAUUGCUAUGUAUCUAGGAGGUAAAUAAUAUAUUAUUCUAAGUGCUCUCUGAUUAUUUUAGCUUAGAGAGCAUUCUUGAAAAUUUUCCACAAGUCUUGUAUUUUUUUUUUUUUAAUUGACAGGUAAAGUUAUAGAUAGAGAGAGAGACAGAGAGAAAGGUCUUCCUUCUGUUGGCUGCUAUGGCCGGCACUGCGCCGAUCUGAAGCCAGGAGCCAGGUGCCUCCUCCUGGUCUCCCAUGCCGGUGCAGAGGCCCAAGCACUUGGGCCAUCCUCCACUGCACUCCUGGGCCACAGCAGAGAGCUGGACUGGAAGAGGAGCAACUGGGACUAUAACCCAGUGCCCAUAUGAGAUGCUGGCGCCGCAGGUGGAGAAUUAACCAAGUGAGCCAUGGCACCGGCCCCUACAAGUCUUGUAUUUGUAAUUAGAAUAUCCUGAGUAGUGUGAUGGCUCCACUGCUUCCUGUGACCUUUGUGAAGUUCAGACAUCUUCAUUUUCUCAUCUAGAAGAAAUCCGUAAUAGUGCUUGGUUUAUCUACUAGGAUCUUUGUGAGCUUGAAGUAAACAAUAUAUGCAGUUGCUUUGUAAACUGCCAAAGGCUUUAUUAAUAGUAAUAUCUUAGAAAUUUUUUCUAAUCUUUUAAGCAAUCUAAAAUUUAGGUAAUGGGAUAGGUCUUGCCAAUACAAAAAGCUAUUCACUAUGCUAACUUCAAACUAAUUGCUUGAGUUGAAGGAAACAAGAUCAUAUAUUAACCAAAAACUGGCAAACUUUUUAAUCCUAGAUUCAGUAUAAGAAAAGGUCCUUUUCUGUCCCAGUUGUCCUCGUGAACCACUUGAGAUUGAGAAUUUUAAGAAUGGGGGUACUGCUUUUCACUAAUUUUCAGGAAAAAAGUGCUAAGGAAAAUCUUGGGUACAAGGUGAAGAAAUUCUACCAGUUUUCACAGCUAAAUGGAUUUUCAACAAGUUGAACAACUGUGUCCAUAAAGACUAUAAGCAAGCUGUAGGGUAUAGGCUGCUACAUGCAGUUCUGGAUUUUUUGCAUUUCAUAUGAGUAAUCUUGGGUAAAGUCCAAUUUGGAUGGAAGAACUAAUAUAUAAUGUGGAUAAUAACAAUUCAAAAUGAACUUGAUAGGCAAAAUUAUAGCCUAAAUUUAGGAAAUGGAAUUAAAUAAAAAUGAAGUUAAAGCCUGAUGUUUACUUUAAAAAUAACUGCUAUAGAAAUGCAAGGUAGAGGCUGACUGGUUAAAUAGCAGCACAUGUUUCAAAAUGUUUCAAAGUUUUACAUAACUUGAUUCAUAUGAGUCAGAUUAAGUACUAAAGCCAGCAAAAGAGUAACAUGAUCCUGGGUCAGUAAAAGUAUAAUGUACAGAAAAGGUAAGGAAUAGUUCUACCCUGUUGGGCCUCAUUACAAUUUGGUGGCAGAAACCUUCAUUUCAGAAGGACAUAUAUGAGUACAAACUGGAGUCAGUAUAUCAAUAUGGAUCAUUACAAAGGACAUGUCAGUGGACAUUUUGGGAAUGGUUGAAUAACUGAAACAUUGGAAUGGAUAAUAUAGAAACUACUUUCAGAUAAUUAAAUGACUGUCAUGUAAAAGCUGUCUUAGACUUACUCUUCAUGGCUUUUUUGUGGGCAGAACAAAGACCAUGAAUAGAAGAGAUAGGUUUGGACUCCCUUGGAAAUGGAAAGAACUUGUUAAGUGAGGAGUUGGUUUGUACUGGAGGCAUUCAAGCAUGGGUUUGAUGGACACGGAUUAGGAGUUAGGAGAUGAAAUUUAUGCAAAGGGUAGACGACUGGAGUGAUUUUUUUUUUCAUUUUUAAAGAAAUGUAAAAUACUGUUGUGAGCAGUCUAUGUGCUGGAGUUAGAAAAGCGAACAGAACUGUUGUCCCCUAAAGGGAAGGACAGUUUGCCACAAUAAUUAACAAGAAAAUAUAAUAGAUGUGUACAAAGUACAUGAAGGGCAAGAAGAAGAUUUUGACUGUACUGAAUGACUCAACAGAUUUAGAUUUUCAGUACACGUGUGUUAAGCACCUUCUGGAUGCUGAAUAGCACGGAGUAGCAUUCAUACAUAUUCUUGAAGUAAUCUUAGGUUACUAUUAACCCCAUUUUGGAAAUGAAAUGUUUGGGCAUGGUCUAAUUUGUCUGAAUGAUCCCCCACCUAACAAUCCUAUGGAAUUUAUGCUCUUCUCUUAAUAUUAUAUAUAUUUUAUCUCUUUGGAUAAUAUAUUUUAUAUAUUAUAUAAAUACAUAUUUAUCAUAUAUUAUGUAAUUAUAUAUAAGUAUGCAUUAUAUAUUAAUAUACAAUAUAAUAUAUUUUUAUAUUUGGAUAAUAUAUCUCUUUGGGUAUAUAUUUUAUAUAUAUAAUAUAUAUAUUUCUCUGACUUAUAUUAGUUAUGUGAGGAGGCAACAGAGCUGAGUUCACACUUUUUUUUGCAAAGAAGUUUUAAUGACUUUCAUACUAGGAAUGUUAUACAAAGUGUGGCAGUAAACAGUUUUUGACAGGAUUUGUGGUGAGUGGGGGUAAAGACUAAAGGAAUAGGGGCCUGCAUUGUGGCAUAGCAGGUUAAGCUUCCUGUGACUCUGGCAUUAUGUACAAGUGCCAGUUCAAGUCCUGGCUGCUCUACUUCUGAUUCAGCUCCCUGCUAAUGCAUCUGGGAAAGCAGCAGAUGAUGGCUUCAGUGCUUGGGCCUUUGUCACCCACAUGGGAGACCUAGAAGGUGUUCCAGGCUCCUAGCUUCAGCCUGGCUCACUUGGCCAUUCUGGCCCUUUGGGGAGUGAACCAGUGGAUGGAAAGUUCUCUCUCUCUCUCUUUCUCUCUCUCCCUCUCUCUGUGUGUGUGUGUGUGUGUCUGUGUCUCUCCCUCUCUCUGACUCCGCCUUUCAAGUAAAUCCUUAAAAAAAAAAAAAAAAAGACUGAAGAAAUAUUGGGA